GUGGAUUAGAUACCCUGGUAGUCCACGCCGUAAACGGUGGGCACUAGAUGUGGAGACCUUUCCAUGGUUUCUGCGUCGCAGCUAACGCAUUAAGUGCCCCGCCUGGGGAGUACGGCCGCAAGGCUAAAACUCAAAGGAAUUGACGGGGGCCCGCACAAGCAGCGGAGCAUGCGGCUUAAUUCGAUGCAACGCGAAGAACCUUACCUAGGCUUGACAUAUAGAGAAAUCUCUUAGAGAUAAGAGGUCCGAAAGGGCUCUAUACAGGUGGUGCAUGGCUGUCGUCAACU
rnacentral:rRNA from 1 species